rnacentral:rRNA from 1 species
CGGGUGAGUAACGCGUGGGUAACCUGCCUUAUACAGGGGGAUAACAGUCAGAAAUGGCUGCUAAUACCGCAUAAGCGCACAGAGCUGCAUGGCUCAGUGUGAAAAACUCCGGUGGUAUAAGAUGGACCCGCGUUGGAUUAGCUGGUUGGUGGGGUAACGGCCCACCAAGGCGACGAUCCAUAGCCGGCCUGAGAGGGUGAACGGCCACAUUGGGACUGAGACACGGUCCAG